AAAAUUCCUUUUCUGCCCCUUAAAACUUUGUAGUACUCCUGGCCGGAUACAAUGGCUCAUACCUGUAAUCCAGGACUUUGGGAGGCCGAGGGGGCAGGAUUGCUUGAGUCCAGGAGUUGGAGACCAGCCUGGACAACAUGGUGAGAUUCGGUCUCCACAAAAAAUUUUAAAAAUUAGCUGGGCGUGGUGGCAUGCAGAGGUGCAUGCCAGAGGUGGUCCCAGCUACUCGGGAGCCUGAGGUGGGAGGAUCGCUGAAGCCCAGGAAGCUGAGGCUGAGGUGCAUACCACCACACUCCAGCCUGGGCGACAGCAAGACCCUGUCUAACACACACACACACACCCAACACACACACACGGACACCCUAACACACACAUACACACACCCUAACACACACCCUGUGUAAAACAACACUCUCAACCCUGUCUAAAAAACACACACUCCCUAAAACACACACACCCAUCUCACACACAUGCACUCACCCUAACACACACACCCUAACACACAUACACACCGUCUAAAACACACACACCCCCGUCUCACACACAUGCACUCAAACACACAUACACACCCUAACACACAUACACAUCGUCUAAAAUACACACCCCCGUCUCACACACAUGCACUCAAACACACACACCCUAACACACAUACACACCGUCUAAAACACACACACACCCCCAUCUCACACACGUGCACUCACUCUAACAAACACACACAUCCUAACACACAUACACACCGUCUGAAACACAUAUACCACCGUCUCACACACUUGCACUCACUCUCACACACACAUCCUAACACACAUACACACCGUCUGAAACACACACACCCCCAUCUCACACAUGCACUCACCCAACACACACACACCCUAACACACAUACACACCGUCUGAAACACACACACCCCCAUCUCACACAUGCACUCACCCAACACACACUGUCUAAAACACACACACCCUGUCUAAAACACACAUACAUACCUUAACACACACAUAUCCUGUCUAAAACACACACCCAUACUUUAAUACACAGACACCCACACCCUAACACACAUACCACACCCUAAAACACAAACACACCCUAACACACACGCAUACAGACCAUACACACCCGUCUAAAACACACAUACACACAUCCUGUCCAAAACACACACCCAUACUUUAACACACAGUCUAAGACACACACACCCUAACACAUACCACACCCUAAAACACACAAACACACCUUCACACACACACACACACACACAGACCAUAACACACACACCUGUCUAAAACACACAUACACACCUUAACACACACACACUCUGUCUAAAACACACACCCAUAUCUUAAUACAGUCUAAAACACACACACUGUCUAAAACACACACCCUAACACACACAUACCCUAACACACACGCUCUAAAACACACCCUGACACACACACCCUGUCUAAACACACACCCUAACACACACACCCUGUCUAAAACACACACCCCAUCACACGCACACACCCUAACACACAUACACCCUGAUUCACACACAUACAACCUGUCUAAAACACACACCCUAACACACACUCUAACACACACAUACACACAGACACUUUGUGGUAUUCCUGAGACAUUCAACCACUGCAGAGCAUUAUUUAAAUGCCAUAAAAAUGCAUCUUUAUGGAUCAUUUCUAUAUUAAAAUAUAAUAAUCUUGGCGGCCACAAUAGUUAAAAUAAACAGAUUCAAGAUCAAAUAAAGUUAGAGCAGAAC
rnacentral:lncRNA from 10 species